UAGUUUUCUUAGAAAUGUGUCAAAGUACACAAUGAAUAUAAAGUUAAAAACGAUUAGGAAUUGUACUCGUUAUUAAUUUUAGUUCUAUUGGACUCUUUUGAGGAUAAGCUCGAAAGCUGUUGUUGAGAAUUAUAUAAUUUAAAAUUGCUGUGUAGGCCUAAAAUUAGCCAUCACAAGAGUUUGUUAUAAAAUAAUAAAAAGACGUAAAAAGAUUAUUAUAUAAAACACCACAUAAAACUAUAAGAAUAAUAAUCUGAACUAAAAGAUUUAAUAUACCUAUGCUAGGAUGAGUAUUAUAACCACCUAAAUUGAAUAAAUAAUAUUUCCGGGAAAAAUAUUUUUUAUGUAAAUUAAAGAGAAGGAAUUCGGCAAAUAUUGUUUCGCCUGUUUAUCAAAAACAUGGCUCUCUGAAGAUAAACGUAUAGAGAGUCGAACCUGCCCAGUGAAUAGUUUUAACGGCCGCGGUACCCUGACCGUGCAAAGGUAGCAUAAUCAUUUGCCUUAUAAUUGAAGGCUGGCAUGAAUGGUCUGACGAGAGCAAUACUGUCUCCUCUUUAUUAUCUAAAAAUUAACCUAUAGGUGAAGAGGCCUAUAUAAAAUUGAAGGACAAGAAGACCCUGUCGAGCUUAAAAGAAAAGUAGAGGUUAGUUAUUAAAAAAAAUCAAUAAACUAUACAUAGCUUUUUAGUUGGGGCGACUAAGGAACAAAUAAAGCUUCUUUUGCUUCUGUAAAUUUAUAGAUUUAGAUCCAGCAAAGCUGAUCAGAAAAAUUAGUUACCGCAGGGAUAACAGCAUAAUCUCCUUUGAGAGACCUAAUCGAAAAGGGGGGUUGUGACCUCGAUGUUGGACUAGAAUAUCCUGAAGAUGCAGACGUCUUCGAAGGUUGGUCUGUUCGACCAUUAAAAUUCUAC
rnacentral:rRNA from 1 species